UUCGUCCUUAGUUACCAGCACGGUUAUGGUGGGCACUCUAAGGAGACUGCCGGUGACAAACCGGAGGAAGGUGGGGAUGACGUCAAGUCAUCAUGGCCCUUACGGCCUGGGCUACACACGUGCUACAAUGGUCGGUACAAAGGGUUGCCAAGCCGCGAGGUGGAGCUAAUCCCAAUAAAACCGAUCGUAGUCCGGAUCGCAGUCUGCAACUCGACUGCGUGAAGUCGGAAUCGCUAGUAAUCGUGAAUCAGAAUGUCACGGUGAAUACGUUCCCGGGCCUU
rnacentral:rRNA from 1 species